AUGGCGGGGAUCGAGGGCCCUAGGGACACUACCGCUAACGGAACAGAAACCUCGGGCAAGAGAUCAAUGGAUGAUGGAGCUUCAGGAUCAGGCUCGGGUACGUCUGCCUCCGACUUGGAGGCUAUGAUGGAAGAACUGGGUUUGAAGGAGGACGAUCUGGAGGAUGUGGUGAUCGAAGACGAUGAGCUUACUGGGGAGGCCACGCGCUGGAUGGCCAUUGUUAGGGUUCACAUGGACAGGACGUACAGCCAAUACUGGUUCUUCCGAAACAUGAAGGCAGCCUGGGACUUGGCGAAGGAGGUUAAGAUCAGGCCACUUGAAGAUAAUUUGUACACAAUGCAGUUUGGAUGUCUUGGUGAUUGGGAACGGGUGAUGGAGGACGGACCAUGGACCUUCAAAGGGAAAACGGUGGUGUUAGCUUUUUAUGAUGGAUUCAUGAAGCCAUCGUCAAUAGAGCUUAACAAGAUUGAUAUCUGGAUACAGAUCCAUGACCUCCCUGAUGGCUUCUACCCCAAGAUCAAGGCACUUUCAGCUACUGUAGGAGAAUUUAUCUUUGCUGAACCAAAAUCCCAGGACUUUGAAGGGAAUUUUGCUAGGGUUAGGGUAAGGAUCGAUGUGACAAAGCCGCUUAAGAAUGCAGUGUCACUUGUUAUCAAGAAGAAAGAAGGCCUCUAG
rnacentral:rRNA from 1 species